GGUUAACUUGGAUUAGCAUCAGUGAAUGAAACCUGUAAACAAAAUCAUUAUGUGUUCUAGAUAUAAAAUAAGUUUAGAACCAAGCAAGGAGAUCUAGAGCAAACAAAGUCCAAUAAACCAGUAAAAGAAAAUGUUAAAUAUGACAAAAUCUGUACUAAAUAUAUCAAAAAAGGAAUCCCAUGUAUGGUCUAGUAACAGAACACAUUGAAUGAACACAAUUAUUUCCUAUAACUUUCUUCAUAAAUUCUACUGGU
rnacentral:lncRNA from 1 species